UACGUAGGUGGCAAGCGUUGUCCGGAUUUAUUGGGCUUAAAGGGUGCGUAGGCGGUCCCAUAAGUCAGUGGUGAAAUACUCUAGCUUAACUAGAGGGGUGCCAUUGAUACUGUGGGACUUGAGUAGAGUCGAGGUGGGCGGAAUUGACGGUGUAGCGGUGAAAUGCGUAGAGAUCCGGAGGAACACCAGUGGCGAAGGCGACACGCUGGGCCGUACCUGACACUGAUGCGCGACAGCAUGGGGAGCAAACAGG
rnacentral:rRNA from 1 species